GCAGCGGAGCGUGUGGUUUUAAUUCGUUGCUACACGAAGAACCUUUACCUGGGUUUGACAUAGUAGUUGUAGGGAACUGAAAGGACCGACCUUUGGGAGCCUAUACAGGUGUUGCAUGGCUGUCGUCAGCUCGUGUCGUGAGAUGUUCGGUUAAGUCCGCUAACGAGCGCAACCCUCGUCGUAUGUUAUAUGUGUCAUACGAGACCGCCGGUAAAAAGCCGGAGGAAGGUGAGGAUGAUGUCAAGUCAGCAUGGCCUUUAUAUCCUGGGCUACACACACGCUACAAUGGCCAACACAAUAGGUUGCUAAGCCGCGAGGUGGAGCCAAUCCAUAAAGUUGGUCUCAGUUCAGAUUGUAGGCUGCAACCCGCCUGCAUGAAGAUGGAGUUGCUAGUAACCGCAGGUCAGCUAUACUGCGGUGAAUACGUUCCCGGGGCUU
rnacentral:rRNA from 1 species